UCCAGUGUUCUAUCCUGAAGCCAAAAUGGACAAAGAUAGCCAGCCACUGUGGUGCUUGGAAGUGAAAAUUUGAAAAAGCGAAAUGGCAGCCCAGAAUCAGAUUUCUGCCCAACCCCUGCUCCUCAAAAACAGUUAUUUAGAAUUAUGCAAAAAGAGAGGAUCCAAGACAAAACCAAGAACGCAGAAUCCCAACAUGGGAAGGAGAAGAAAAGUACUAAAUUCACCUACUGCCAGAUAUAGUGCAUUUUAACAUUGGACAGAUUUGCAGGAGAAAUUCCAGGAGGGAUGUUUGCCCCCGAGGAAAAGGGAUGCUGUUCGAAGGGUUAAUGGCUGGGCUUAAAAAAGGCAUGGAGUCAAAAUGAGAAGUAAGUGAUGAUACGGAGAGCAAGUUGCGCAGGUCAUUAGGGUGCAGGUGAAGUUAUCGUCAGGAUGGAGACCUGCAAAGGUGAGGAUGAGAAGCUCGAAAAAGGCUUGGUCAGAGAAAGAUGAGGUUCAGAUCCCAGCUCUCUCUCCUCUUCAUGUCUGCAUGACACAAGAAAGUGAACUGUUAAUUCUUCUGCCCCCCCGUCUCUGCCCCACACCACUGCUAGUUGAGAGCGACAAAGAUGGAUGGCAGAAUUGGGGAGUGAACUGAGAGUGGUUGAUGGGAAUGGAUGGGAACAGCACGGAAGAAAUCUUUGCUGAGGGCAGAUCUUUGGGCUGUGAACCAGGGACAUGGCUGGCUGGAAAGGAGCUGUCCUGGAAGGCUUCCAUUGAAUUGUCAGCUGGGGAUGGCUGACAUGGCCAGACGCACAGACAACACCCUUGCCCUUCCAUGGGUUAAGAGCUGCUCUGGGGAGACUA